rnacentral:rRNA from 1 species
UACGAAGGGGGCUAGCGUUGUUCGGAAUUACUGGGCGUAAAGCGCACGUAGGCGGAUAUUUAAGUCAGGGGUGAAAUCCCGGGGCUCAACCCCGGAACUGCCUUUGAUACUGGGUAUCUAGAGUCCAGAAGAGGUGAGUGGAAUUCCGAGUGUAGAGGUGAAAUUCGUAGAUAUUCGGAGGAACACCAGUGGCGAAGGCGGUCUCCUGGGGCAUACUUGACGCUGAGGCGCGAAAGCUGGGGGAGCGAACGGG